GACGAACGCUGGCGGCGUGCUUAACACAUGCAAGUCGAACGGAAAGGCCCUGCUUUUGUGGGGUGCUCGAGUGGCGAACGGGGGAGUAACACGUGAGUAACCGGCCCUUGACUUUGGGAUAACUUCAGGAAACUGGGGCUAAUACCGGAUAGGAGCUCCUGCUGCAUGGUGGGGGUUGGAAAGUUUCGGCGGUUGGGGAUGGACUCGCGGCUUAUCAGCUUGUUGGUGGGGUAGUGGCUUACCAAGGCUUUGACGGGUAGCCGGCCUGAGAGGGUGACCGGCCACAUUGGGACUGAGAUACGGCGCAGACUCCUACGGGAGGCAGCAGUGGGGAAUAUUGCACAAUGGGCGGAAGCCUGAUGCAGCAACGCCGCGUGCGGGAUGACGGCCUUCGGGUUGUAAACCGCUUUCGCCUGUGACGAAGCGUGAGUGACGGUAAUGGGUAAAGAAGCACCGGCUAACUACGUG
rnacentral:rRNA from 1 species